rnacentral:rRNA from 1 species
UUGGGAAUAUUGCACAAUGGGGGGAAACCCGUGAUGCAGCGACGCCGCGUGAGCGAAGAAGUAUUUCGGUAUGUAAAGCUCUAUCAGCAGGGAAGAAAAAAAUGACGGUACCUGAGUAAGAAGCACCGGCUAAAUACGUGCC